UCACAUAUUUUCAUUUUUCUGGCAGACUGGCGUUGGUGGUUGAUCUUCGUGCCCGUGGUGGUUUUUAUAGUUCUGUUAGUGGUCGUUGUGAAAGUCAUCAGACGGAAAGGAAACAGAACGCAGAUGAGUGACGAUGUUGCUGAUCCUGAAG